CCCGAAAUACCUCAAAAGUCGAAGAUCUACUAAUCAAUCGUUCAACUGGUGCUGGCCAGCCACCACCUCCUUGUGAUGGAGAUGUGGAUCCUUGGCCUCACCCAGGUCGACCAUGUCAGGAACAAAGAUCACAGGCAUAGCGCCGAUCGUUGAGAAGGUGCGUGGAGCCCGACUUCAAUGGUAUGGUCACGUAGUCCAAAGUGAUGACAUCUCAGGGGCCAAGACAACCCUAUGAUUAGGCCUGCGUGGCAAACGGCCUCAUGGAAGACUUGACCAAAUCAAGGAGGACAGGCGGCAAGUUGAUGUCGCCUUCUGAGGAUCCUCUCGAUCGAAACAAAUGGCGAUUGACCUGUAUCGUUGCACAAACGUAGGAUAAAUCUAGGAGGAAGGAAAAGAAGACCUGCUUACAUCUCUACUCAAGUUACACUACAUGUACGUGGUACUUACCCGGUAAAAAACUUCUAUUUACGGCACAUUCAAGUUGGUACCAAUGUCUACCUACUGAUACCUUUACUCGAGUGACAUUGUCAUUAAUAAGUAAUUAGGACUAGCUACCGUGUAGUUAGGCUCUUACCACUGUCGUGCGCUUAAUUACAGCGUCAUUACCCCAUAAUAAUACCUAGUUACCGUGUAGUUAGACAAGCAGACACUGGUACCCGCUUAAAAACUGAUGUCACAUGACCCGACUUCUAUGUCAUCGCUGAUUCAUGUUAAUUUAAAUGACUGAUGAUGUCUGUCCAGGCUGAUUGUCCAACCCAGUUGUGCCCGCCCCUUUUUGUGACAGCCAAUAGCGUGUCGCCUCACGGAGCCCGUGAGCUGCAUGAAGGGCUCUGUACAGUUAGGCUUGUGUCUACUUUUUGACACCACCAUCAUCUUCAUCUUCAUCCUCAUGAAGUGGCAGACUUUGUGUGGUCGAGAACAAGUUUGCGCCACCUCUGCAGGUCCUUACUGAGCUGCGCUGUAGUUAAGCUAAUCGAUGCUGCUGUCUACUGACCUGUAGUGUUACUCGAGUUACACUCGAAUUAGCCAAUAAGAAUGCCUCGUGGCGGUGUAACUAAGCUGGUAAUUACUGUAAUCUCCUACCGUUACUCGUUAUGCUGUAAUUACAUAGUAAUGAUGCCUUGUCACACUGUUAUUAAGCAGGUAAUUACUACCACACUCGAACUACCCAAUAAUAAUGCCUACUUAGCGUGUAGUUCAGCUAGUCAUUAUUAUUAGCUACUUACCUACACUGUUACACGUUAUACUGUAAUUACAAAGUAACUUUGCCUAAUUACUCUGCUGAUAAGCUGCUGAUUUGCUGUUGUCUCCUUAUCUUUACCUUUAAUUGAGUUACGCUGUAAUUACCCCCUGUGGUGGGCUGGCACCCUGCUCAGGGAUUUGUUCCUGCCUUGCGCCCUGUGUUGGCUGGGAUUGGCUCCAGCAGACCCUCGUGACCCUGUAUUAGGAUGUAGCGGGUUGGAUAAUGACUGACUGACUGACUGACUGUAAUUACCCCAUGUUGUCUUUGCUGGGCUGUGUUACUGGGUAGUUAGGCUGCUCUCCUUUCUUUGUAGUUAGCUACAGCGUAAGUUGAGUAACACUUUAAUUAUUCAUUAAUAAUGCCUAGUUAGGGUGUAGAUCAAUUAAGGGCGCAGUGGGGGCUCUGAGGCUAAGCAUCUGCGCUGUUAUCCAGAGGGCUGCCGGUUCAAAUCCCUGUUACUGUCAAAGGAGAUCCUACUCUGUUGGGCCCUUGAGCAAGACCCUUAACCUGUGAUUGGCUGACCCUGUGCCCUUAGCCCAAGGGCUAUGUGAAAACUAACACAUUCCUAAUACAAGAAAUUGUAUAAAGAACAAACAACCUAGUAAUUGUUAUUAUCAUCCUACCGACACUUUUACUUGUUAUACUGUAAUUACAUAGUAAUAAAGCCAAGUUGCACUGCAGCACUCCCUGACACCUGCCCUUCUGCCCCAUUUAUUUUUUCCUCGGUAGUUACACUUAUACUGUGAUUUCUCUGGCAAUUACUGCCAUCUACUUCCCUACUUGGCUACUUGUCGUACUGUAAUAACACUGUAAUAAAACCUCUGUACACCAGAAGUAACAUGGUAAUUCCUUCUGUCUACCUACCUACACCUUUCUUUGAGUGACAUUGCACUUACCCAGUAACACAUAGCUGGUUACAGUUAAGCUGCUAAUUACCAAUGUCUGCCUAUUGAUGGAAAGGCACUAUAUAAAUAAAAUGCAUUAUUAUUAUUAUUUGCUCAAGUGACAGUGUGAUUACUCAAUAAUUAGGACGGGCUGUCAUGACUGUUGUUUAUUUUCAUUUCUCGAGUUACACUCUGAGUACCCUAGUGACAGUCUAGUUCACCUAGUAAUUACCUACACCGUUACUUGUUAUGCUGUAAUUACAUAGUAAUUAUGCCUAAUUACACUGCUGUAACACUGGUGAUUGCUAUUUAUGCCUGGCUGGGCCGUGUUACUCAGUGGCUAGGCUGCUGUCCUUUCCCUGUAGUUGAGUUACAACUUAACUACUCAAUAAUAAUGCUAAGUUACAGUAUAGCUCAACUAGUAAUUACUGCUAUCUGCUUACCUACACUCUUACUCGUGAUGCUGUAAUUACACAGUAAUUAUGCCUAUUUAUGCAGUUGUUGAGCUGGUAAUUGUGGGGGUCAGCUUACCUCUACCUUUACUUGAGUUGUGCCUGCCAUUGCCCGAUUUUGCCUGACUACUGUGCAGUUAGGCUAUUACUGCCACGUAGUUUCCUACAGAAUUACUCAAGCUACUCUCUAAUUGGUGGCACGGUGGUGCAGUGGAGCCCAGGGUUCAGGUCUCAGGUUCUCAUUGUGCCUGCAUGGGUCUACUCCCACAGUCCAAAGACAUGCAGGUUAGGUGAAUUGGUAAUCCUAAAUUGUCCCUCAUGUGUGGUUGGGUUUUUGUGUGUGUCUGUGUGUGUGUGUUCCCCCUGCGAUGGACUGAUGCCCUGUCCAGGGCAACACUAUGCUAGCUGAGAUAGGCCCUGGCACCCACGACCCUGUUCAGGACUAAGCAGGUUGGAAAAUGACUGCCUCUUUAAUUACCGAGUAACAAUACCCAGUUAGAGUGAAAUUAAGCUGGUAAUCAUUGCUGUCUACUUACCUGCACCGUUAUUCGUUAUUCUGUAAUUAUGUAGCAAUUGUUCCUCAUUGCACUGAAGUUAAGUUGGUAACUGCAGAUGUCUGCUUACCUGUACCCAGUGCUGGUGCCAGGUCAUUUAAUGCCCUAAGCCAAGCUUAUCAGUGUGCCAAACCCACUAGAAGUCCACCUGUCUGUUCCUUUACUACUGUAGAGUUGUGCUGUAGAUGCCCGAUAAUGCCCGCCUUUGCCUGGUUACUGGGCUGUUAUUACUGCUGCGUAGUUACCUCUAGAAGUACUCAUGUUACUCUUUAAUUAGCAGUAGUAAUGCCUAGUUAGAGUGUAGUUAAGCUGGCAAUCACUGCUCUCUACUUACCUAUUGAGUUACUCAAGCUGCCCUCUCAUUAUACCCAGUACCAGUACAGUAGUAGUGCCACAUUCCACUGUCGUUCAGCUGGUAAGCGCCGAGGUCCGCUUAGCUACACCUUCACUUGUGUUGUGCUGUACUAAUCUGCUAAUUAUGCCUUAGCUCGAGUGUAGUCAGCGUGUUACUUACUGAAUUUCUACACCCUUCAGUGAUAAUUAAUACCAAUGGAAUUAGAACAAUGAGCACUGAACACUCAGCUGCGCUUUAGCUGCUCUGUUAUUACUCUGUAAUAAGACCACCGAGUAAUCUCACGUCAUUUGAGUUGUGCCCCUAACUGUAUUACUCAAGUUAUGCUGUAAUUAACGAUGUAGUUGGGCUUAGUUACACCGCUGUACCCUACGGACGCCUACUCGAGUAACAUUAUAGAUGGCGAUGCUUACGGACUAAUAAUAAGAAACGCGUCCUUAACCGUACACCGUGAGCACCCGCUAGCGACACUUCUAAGGCCGGGUGAGUCAUUCCCGAUGUGUGCCUACCAACACGUGCCACCCCUCGAAUAACACGGCAGGGGCACAGCAGCAACUACUGAGGUGUUUUCUUAUGAAUGCUUGACCUCCGCUUUAAUUUAAGUGAAUAACAAUUACUGAGAAAUUCUCCACCAUAGCAGACACCGAAGAUGAAGUGCCGCAAUCAGACAUCAAACGUGCUGCCGUUUGCUUUCUAAACGUUCUUCUCUUAAAUACUCGUUUUCACCCCAGUUCCUCAAGCCCAUAAUGUCUGUCUCUGGAAUCGUAUAUGUCGAUGCUGCUCUGACCGCCGGGCUCCUUUAUUCUGACAGACUUCUCUGGGAUGCGACUCGUGCCAAUGCCAGUCGGCGGUAAAAAGUGCGGGCGCCUCUCAGACAAAUCUCUUUUGACCCGACCGGCGUGGUGUUUUCAAAAGGGAGGUGCCCGCGUGCCACUUAAAGCCAUGACAAAACUGCCCCCGGUUGUCACAAAGUCGCCUUCUCUGCCUUUCCUGCUCCCCUUAAUUCGCCGUUUGGCCCUUCGCACAUGUGGUGACAGUUAUUGUUAACGUCCCCAAAAUAAAAAAAAAAAAACACGAGGACGAUGACAAGCUUAUGAAAAAUGGGUGACAGCAAAUCUCAGCUGCGGCACAUUAAGAGAGACCCCCCCACCCCCCUCCCCCAGUACUACCGCUACCGUCAGAGCCACACAAGCCGAUGCAAUCCGAGUGAUUGUUCUUAAUGAAACCUGCCAGCUAUUGUCGAUAUUCCGAACACGCUUCCUUCAUCAGUAUUUUAAUACGCAGAGGUGCGUUACAUGGAGAUGAAAUGAGCAGCCUUGGCUGGAGCCAUUAAUUAUUCAUUCAUCGGGAGCAAAGGCUUUUUUCCUUUUCUUUCUUUCUUUUUCUUUUGUUGAAUCGACCAAAGUUUACAAAAACCUUGCAUCCAAUCUUGGCGACCCUGCCUUUAAUAAAAUAAACUGUGAUCUGUUGCAUAAUAGAGGAAUUUGUAAAUAUAUUUUGAAUUUAUGACAAAUGUAUUAUGUAAGCAUUGCGUUUCAAUAGGCUAUUAAACCUUUGCUGUACGGAU